GAUGAACGCUAGCGGCAGGCCUAACACAUGCAAGUCGAGGGGUAGAAGGAGCUUGCUCCUUUGAGACCGGCGCACGGGUGCGUAACGCGUAUGCAAUCUACCUUGUACAGGGGAAUAGCCCAGAGAAAUUUGGAUUAAUGCCCCAUAGUAUAUAACCUUCGCAUGUUGGUUAUAUUAAAGUUCCAACGGUACAAGAUGAGCAUGCGUCCCAUUAGUUAGUUGGUAAGGUAACGGCUUACCAAGACGAUGAUGGGUAGGGGUCCUGAGAGGGAGAUCCCCCACACUGGUACUUAGCCACGGACCAGAUUCCUACGGGAGGCAGCAGUGAGGAAUAUUGGUCAAUGGUCGCAAGACUGAACCAGCCAUGCCGCGUGCAGGAAGACGGUCGUAUGGAUUGUAAACUGCUUUUAUACAGGAAGAAACCCUCCCACGUGUGGGAGCUUGACGGUACUGUAGGAAUAAGGAACGGCUAACUCCGUG
rnacentral:rRNA from 1 species